AUACACUUUAGGUCAAUAUCACACCGGAAUUCUCCUUUAAUGCCGAAGAAUUUGAAGGCUAUUUAUUUGAGCCAGAAUAUUCUGCAGAUGAAAUAAGGCAACGGAGGGAACAACAGCAGGCAGCUCUGGAUAGUAGCAGUAACGUUAACGCCAUCGUUGCAGCUGACCGUCCUCGAGUUGACAGCAGUUGGUGGUGCUCUUGUCAACAUUGCCCACCACAACCAACAGAAGUGGAGCCACUUUGUUGUCAGGAGUGGGACCGCGGUCAGUUUUUGCUGAGAGAGGCAGAUGAGAUGGGGGACGCAUCCGAGCUGUCCUGCCUAACCCAACACAGCAGCUUUUGUGCUCAUCUGGACAGAGGGGUCCUGGAAACGUUUUUCCACUUCAUUAAUUGGAGGAAAAAGAGAAGAUCACAGGGCCCAGGAGGACAAAUGUCAAACAGACAAUUUCGUUUGGUUGGCUAUCGUAUCCUUCUGGAAUGGGUGCUAAGAGGCGAGCGUUUGGGGAAGCACAACCGAGCAGUACUCCCCGCCUGCCUCGUUGAUGUUGUAAGGCAGCGGUAUGCGUCCCCUGACGGCCAAUACACUGGGUUCCUCGAGGUGAGAGAGGCAGCAGAAGGAAUCGAGUAGACUACUACUCAACAAAUGUAAAUAGUUCUGGGUGCUCUUAAUAAACAUUUAUUUUGUUCUUCGA